CGCUGGCCACAAGCCAUAUGCACUGACUUAGUCAGCUUUAUCACCCUCUACCUCCAAAGUGAGCCGUGUGUUUACAGUUUUUAUUUUCUCUAUUUCUAUGUUAGUUUCCCAAUUGGCAUUUAUCGAUUCUCCGCAUAACAAUAAAGUUGACGGCAAAUAACUUUUAUUUGAAAGAGUUGCUGCAAUUCGGUAUUGAGCUCUGCAACUCUAAGGGUUUCUAAAUGUUGCUUGGAUGAAGAAUACGGAACAAAAUGUUUUCAAAUGGCUUGGAAAUAUCAUUACAAAUGCUCUUGGACUUUGGGCUUAUAAAUCAAGCUGAAAAUUACUAUUUGAAUUCACACUUUUUUACAAUUUGGUGUCAAAUAAAGUUUGUUUCGACGUUUGGAAAUGUUUUAAAGGAACCCUGGAACAUCUUUUAUUUGGGUACAGACUAGUCUUAGACUGAAUCAGAUUACGAAGAGACCUUCAGAGAAGCUUACCAUUUCAAAAUAAGUAAAUUUGAAGUCAAGGGAUGGUUCAACAUAACCGCAAAACAUUCUCAGAAAUUCCUUCAAAUACUAAACACAUCAACAAAACUCUACAAAUUAAGCGAUAAAAACAUAAAAAUAUAUUUUAAUUUAAAAUAAACCAAAAAAUAAGCAAAUAAACAGCAAAACUAAAAAUAACCGAAAUGACGUCAAAUUUGGUAUUUGUGUAUCAUUAGGGCGCACAAGCGUUUUCUAUCCGCCCUCGAUGCGUAGUAAUUGAUGACACAACAACAUUAAAAGAUGCCGUCGAAUUGAACACAACAAGUGUGCAUCGA